rnacentral:rRNA from 1 species
CGGAGGGUGCAAGCGUUAUCCGGAUUUACUGGGUUUAAAGGGUGCGUAGGUGGGUUUGUAAGUCAGUGGUGAAAUCUCCGAGCUUAACUCGGAAACUGCCAUUGAUACUAUAGAUCUUGAAUUAUAUGGAGGUAAGCGGAAUAUGUCAUGUAGCGGUGAAAUGCUUAGAUAUGACAUAGAACACCAAUUGCGAAGGCAGCUUACUACGUAUAUAUUGACACUGAGGCACGAAAGCGUGGGGAUCAAACAGGAUUAGAUACCCUGGUAGUCCACGCCCUAAACGAUGGAUACUCGACAUCAGCGAUACACUGUUGGUGUCUGAGCGAAAGCAUUAAGUAUCCCACCUGGGAAGUACGAUCGCAAGAUUG